rnacentral:rRNA from 1 species
AUUGAACGCUGGCGGCAGGCUUAACACAUGCAAGUCGAACGAGUGGCGGACGGGUGAGUAAUGCUUGGGAAUCUAGCAUAUGGAGGGGGAUAACUAAGGGAAACUGUAGCUAAUACCGAGUACCCUAGGAUGAGCCCAAGGGGGGUAAGGUAGUUGGUGAGGUAAAGGCUCACCAAGCAGACGAUCUCUAGCUGGUCUGAGAGGAUGCCCAGCCACACUGGGACUGCGACACGGCCCAUACUCCUACGGAGGGCAGCAGUGGGGAAUAUUGCGCAAUUGGUGGAACCUGACGCAGCCCUGCCGCGUGAAUGAAGAAGGCCUUCGGGUUGUAAAGUUCUUUCGGUAGCGAGGCGUUAACUACAGAAGAAGAACCGGCUAACACCGUGCCAGCAGCCGCGGUAAUUC